rnacentral:tRNA from 1 species
GCCGGGUUAGCUCAGUUGGUUAGAUCAUGGUGCUAAUAACACCAAGUUCACAGGUUCAAUCCCUGCUUACUGCA